GUAGUUGGCGGGGUAACGGCCCACCAAGCCUGCGAUCAGUAACUGGUGUGAGAGCACGACCAGUCACACGGGCACUGAGACACGGGCCCGACUCCUACGGGAGGCAGCAGUAAGGAAUAUUGGUCAAUGGACGAAAGUCUGAACCAGCCAUGCCGCGUGAAGGAUUAAGGCCCUCUGGGUUGUAAACUUCUUUUAUCUGGGACGAAAAAAGGGUAUUCUUACUCACUUGACGGUACCAGAGGAAUAAGCACCGGCUAACUCCGUGCCAGCAGCCGCGGUAAUACGGAGGGUGCAAGCGUUAUCCGGAUUUACUGGGUUUAAAGGGUGCGUAGGUGGGUCUGUAAGUCAGUGGUGAAAUCUCCGAGCUUAACUCGGAAACUGCCAUUGAUACUAUAGGUCUUGAAUUAUCUGGAGGUAAGCGGAAUAUGUCAUGUAGCGGUGAAAUGCUUAGAUAUGACAUAGAACACCAAUUGCGAAGGCAGCUUACUACGGAUAUAUUGACACUGAGGCACGAAAGCGUGGGGAUCAAACAGGAUUAGAUACCCUGGUAGUCCACGCCCUAAACGAUGGAUACUCGACAUCAGCGAUACGCUGUUGGUGUCUGAGCGAAAGCAUUAAGUAUCCCACCUGGGAAGUACGAUCGCAAGAUUGAAACUCAAAGGAAUUGACG
rnacentral:rRNA from 1 species